GGGUUGUGAGGUUAAGCGACUAAGCGUACACGGUGGAUGCCCUGGCAGUCAGAGGCGAUGAAGGACGUGCUAAUCUGCGAAAAGCGUCGGUAAGGUGAUAUGAACCGUUAUAACCGGCGAUGUCCGAAUGGGGAAACCCAGUGCAAUUCGUUGCACUAUCGUUAACUGAAUACAUAGGUUAACGAGGCGAACCGGGGGAACUGAAACAUCUAAGUACCCCGAGGAAAAGAAAUCAACCGAGAUUCCCCCAGUAGCGGCGAGCGAACGGGGAGCAGCCCAGAGUCUGAAUCAGCUUGUGUGUUAGUGGAACGGUCUGGAAAGUCCGACGGUACAGGGUGAUAGUCCCGUACACCAAAAUGCACAGGCUGUGAACUCGAAGAGUAGGGCGGGACACGUGGUAUCCUGUCUGAAUAUGGGGGGACCAUCCUCCAAGGCUAAAUACUCCUGACUGACCGAUAGUGAACCAGUACCGUGAGGGAAAGGCGAAAAGAACCCCGGCGAGGGGAGUGAAAAAGAACCUGAAACCGUGUACGUACAAGCAGUGGGAGCACCUUCGGGUGUGACUGCGUACCUUUUGUAUAAUGGGUCAGCGACUUAUAUUCUGUAGCAAGGUUAACCGUAUAGGGGAGCCGCAGGGAAACCGAGUCUUAACUGGGCGUUAAGUUGCAGGGUAUAGACCCGAAACCCGGUGAUCUAGCCAUGGGCAGGUUGAAGGUUGGGUAACACUAACUGGAGGACCGAACCGACUAAUGUUGAAAAAUUAGCGGAUGACUUGUGGCUGGGGGUGAAAGGCCAAUCAAACCGGGAGAUAGCUGGUUCUCCCCGAAAGCUAUUUAGGUAGCGCCUCGUGAACUCAUCUUCGGGGGUAGAGCACUGUUUCGGCUAGGGGGUCAUCCCGACUUACCAACCCGAUGCAAACUACGAAUACCGAAGAAUGUUAUCACGGGAGACACACGGCGGGUGCUAACGUCCGUCGUGAAGAGGGAAACAACCCAGACCGCCAGCUAAGGUCCCAAAGUCAUGGUUAAGUGGGAAACGAUGUGGGAAGGCACAGACAGCCAGGAUGUUGGCUUAGAAGCAGCCAUCAUUUAAAGAAAGCGUAAUAGCUCACUGGUCGAGUCGGCCUGCGCGGAAGAUGUAACGGGGCUAAACCAUGCACCGAAGCUGCGGCAGCGACACUAUGUGUUGUUGGGUAGGGGAGCGUUCUGUAAGCCUGCGAAGGUGUGCUGUGAGGCAUGCUGGAGGUAUCAGAAGUGCGAAUGCUGACAUAAGUAACGAUAAAGCGGGUGAAAAGCCCGCUCGCCGGAAGACCAAGGGUUCCUGUCCAACGUUAAUCGGGGCAGGGUGAGUCGACCCCUAAGGCGAGGCCGAAAGGCGUAGUCGAUGGGAAACAGGUUAAUAUUCCUGUACUUGGUGUUACUGCGAAGGGGGGACGGAGAAGGCUAUGUUAGCCGGGCGACGGUUGUCCCGGUUUAAGCAUGUAGGCUGGUUGUCCAGGCAAAUCCGGAUAAUCAAGGCUGAGGUGUGAUGACGAGGCACUACGGUGCUGAAGUAACAAAUGCCCUGCUUCCAGGAAAAGCCUCUAAGCAUCAGGUAACAUUAAAUCGUACCCCAAACCGACACAGGUGGUCAGGUAGAGAAUACCAAGGCGCUUGAGAGAACUCGGGUGAAGGAACUAGGCAAAAUGGUGCCGUAACUUCGGGAGAAGGCACGCUGGUGUGUAGGUGAAG
rnacentral:rRNA from 1 species